UACGAGAGCCUCGAGCGUUAUCCGGAAUUAUUGGGCGUAAAGGGUGUGUAGGUUGUUCUGUUAGUUUUUUGUCAAAGCCAGGGGCUCAACCUCUGAUAUGCAAAAAAUACGGCAGAACUUGAAAGUGCGAGAGGUGUACGGAACUCUAGGUGUAGGGGUGAAAUCCGUUGAUAUCUAGGGGAACACCAAAUGCGAAGGCAGUACACUGGCGCAUAUUUGACACUGAAACACGAAAGCGUGGGUAGCGAAUGGG
rnacentral:rRNA from 1 species